rnacentral:rRNA from 1 species
UGGGGCCUUUCCCCCUUUGAUUGUUUAGCGGGCGGACGGGCCGCCCGUUUACACGUGGGUAACCUGCCUGUAAGACUGGGAUAACUCCGGGAAACCGGGGCUAAUACCGGAUGGUUGUUUGAACCGCAUGGUUCAAACAUAAAAGGUGGCUUCGGCUACCACUUACAGAUGGACCCGCGGCGCAUUAGCUAGUUGGUGAGGUAACGGCUCACCAAGGCAACGAUGCGUAGCCGACCUGAGAGGGUGAUCGGCCACACUGGGACUGAGACACGGCCCAGACUCCUACGGGAGGCAGCAGUAGGGAAUCUUCCGCAAUGGACGAAAGUCUGACGGAGCAACGCCGCGUGAGUGAUGAAGGUUUUCGGAUCGUAAAGCUCUGUUGUUAGGGAAGAACAAGUACCGUUCGAAUAGGGCGGUACCUUGACGGUACCUAACCAGAAAGCCACGGCUAACUACGUGCCAGCAGCCGGCGGUAAUCUUUAUUUACCGCCGGCUGCUGCCGUACAAAACCCGAAAAUAUUCAAGAAAUUGCGGCUUGGGCCCGCUCUUUAAAAACAACUUGACUUAUCGGAAUAGUUUGUAUAUUCUAACUUAAAGCGGGUUCGCCGGAGUCUCGUGUCACUUUCUGACCUGAGAUUUUUUAUUAGGAGGAAAUAAAUCGCUGAUAGAAAGUUGGAAAAAGAUGAACUCUGCCCACAACAAGAAUGAGGCAACCUUUCAGAGAAGUAGGAAAAGCCGGCACCUCUUUAUGCUUUCCUUGGGAGGGGUCAUCGGAACCGGGCUGUUUUUAAGCUCAGGUUAUACCAUUCAGCAAGCAGGCCCGGCCGGAACGAUACUAGCCUAUUUCGUCGGUGCAGCCAUGGUUUAUUUGGUCAUAAUAAACAUUGGUGAGUCAGCAGUCGCCACGCGAGUGACCGACGCCUGUCUUAAAGUUGGAACAUACAAACUAUGGCGAUAAGUCAAGUUGUUUUAAAGAGCGGCGCAAGCCCGCAAAUUUCUUAAUUUUGCGA